AUGCACGAGGAACUACUCACCAUGAAUCCACUAAUUGCUGCUGCUGCUGUUAUGGCUGCUGGAUUGGCCGUAGGGCUUGCUUCUAUUGGACCUGGAGUUAACCAUCACAAACCGCUAAGCGGCACCCACACGUGCCACUUCGAAGAGGGUCUCAUCAAGACAGCACAACGACACCAUCAUCGUCACUUCUCUCCUAGAGGCAUCAUCGCCAUCGCAAACUCUAAGAAACAACUCCGACUUCACCAUAGACGAUCAUGGAACCAACCCACACUGGACCUGCGAAGUCACAUGCAGAUCCGCACCGGACCUCAGCCACCACGACAAGACAUCAUAGCUCUGACGCCGACCGAGAGCUACGAAGAAAAGUCACGCAAGGCUGGCGUCGUGGAAGAUCACCGAACGGACACCUACUGCUCGUCAUCGUACGCCGCCGACUUCACAGCAACAAACCAGCCUAGGCCAUUCCACGAACACAUCGAAGAAAGAGCCGACUACCUCAACCAAUGUCAUGUCUCCUACAUCGCUCCCUGCGACACCAUUCCCACAGAAGCCUCGACGACAACAGCACUGGUCCCUCCUGCUAAUGCCCAACUCCACGGAGAAGCCGUCGAGAGGGGAAACGACACCAACGUCCGAUCACAAAGGAUCUAG
rnacentral:rRNA from 1 species